rnacentral:tRNA from 1 species
CAGCUAGUAUUUUAUUGUAAAAUAUUAAUUUUGGGUAUUAAUGAUGAGGGCAUUUUCUUCCUUGCUGA